UGGGACCUACGGGACGCAGCAGUGAGGAAUAUUGGUCAAUGGGCGGAAGCCUGAACCAGUCAAGUCGCGUGAGGGAAUAAGGCCCUACGGGUCGUAAACCUCUUUUGCCGGGGAGCAAGGGCCGGGACGAGUCCCGGUCCGGAGAGUACCCGGAGAAAAAGCAUCGGCUAACUCCGUGCCAGCAGCCGCGGUAAUACGGAGGAUGCGAGCGUUAUCCGGAUUUAUUGGGUUUAAAGGGUGCGUAGGCGGGCUUUUAAGUCAGCGGUAAAAAUUCGGGGCUCAACCCCGUCCGGCCGUUGAAACUG
rnacentral:rRNA from 1 species